rnacentral:rRNA from 1 species
GACGAACGCUGGCGGCGUGCUAAUACAUGCAAGUAGAACGCUGAAGAGAGGAGCUUGCUCUUCUGGAUGAGUUGCGAACGGGUGAGUAACGCGUAGGUAACCUGCCUGGUAGCGGGGGAUAACUAUUGGAAACGAUAGCUAAUACCGCAUGAAAUGGAUUAUCGCAUGAUAAUUCAUUGAAAGGUGCAAAUGCAUCACUACCAGAUGGACCUGCGUUGUAUUAGCUAGUUGGUGGGGUAACGGCUCACCAAGGCGACGAUACAUAGCCGACCUGAGAGGGUGAUCGGCCACACUGGGACUGAGACACGGCCCAGACUCCUACGGGAGGCAGCAGUAGGGAAUCUUCGGCAAUGGACGGAAGUCUGACCGAGCAACGCCGCGUGAGUGAAGAAGGUUUUCGGAUCGUAAAGCUCUGUUGUAAGAGAAGAACGAGUGUGAGAGUGGAAAGUUCACACUGUGACGGUAUCUUACCAGAAAGGGACGGCUAACUACGUGCCAGCAGCCGCGGUAAUACGUAGGUCCCGAGCGUUGUCCGGAUUUAUUGGGCGUAAAGCGAGCGCAGGCGGUUAGAUAAGUCUGAAGUUAAAGGCUGUGGCUUAACCAUAGUACGCUUUGGAAACUGUUUAACUUGAGUGCAAGAGGGGAGAGUGGAAUUCCAUGUGUAGCGGUGAAAUGCGUAGAUAUAUGGAGGAACACCGGUGGCGAAAGCGGCUCUCUGGCUUGUAACUGACGCUGAGGCUCGAAAGCGUGGGGAGCAAACAGG